AAGUCGUAACAAGGUUUCCGUAGGUGAACCUGCGGAAGGAUCAUUAACAAAUCAUGUUGUCGUGUAGUUGGGUCUUUGGAUCCUUCUCUCGGCAUAUACACCCCAAGCCUGGGCAGUAGUCCGGGCUUUGGUCAUUGACCGCCUGUCACAGGGAGGUCGAUACAUAGACGCUUGUAUGUUUGACAGAGUUUUGGUUUGCAAUACAAAAUUGACAACUUUUAACAAUGGAUCUCUUGGCUCUU
rnacentral:misc_RNA from 1 species